CCUACGGGGGGCAGCAGUGAGGAAUAUUGGUCAAUGGGCGGAAGCCUGAACCAGCCAAGUAGCGUGCAGGAUGACGGCCCUACGGGUUGUAAACUGCUUUUAUACGGGAAUAACGCGCAGUACGUGUACUGCUUUGCAUGUACCUUAUGAAUAAGGACCGGCUAAUUCCGUGCCAGCAGCCGCGGUAAUACGGAGGGUCCGAGCGUUAUCCGGAUUUAUUGGGUUUAAAGGGAGCGUAGGCCGGUUGUUAAGCGUGCUGUGAAAGGUUGGGGCUCAACCGGGACAUUGCAGUUGAAACUGGCGUGCUUGAGUACGGUGGAGGUAGGCGGAAUUCGUGGUGUAGCGGUGAAAUGCUUAGAUAUGACGAAGAACCCCGAUUGCGAAGGCAGCUUGCUGGACCGGAACUGACGCUGAUGCUCGAAGGCGUGGGUAUCAAACAGGAUUAGAUACCCGAGUAGUC
rnacentral:rRNA from 1 species